GGCCAUAGCUCAGUGGUAGGGCAGCUGCUUUGCAUGCAGGCGGUCCCAAGUUCAAUCUCUGGCAUGUCCA